rnacentral:rRNA from 1 species
GUGUAUAUUUUGAAUGGUGGGGCAGUAAGCUGGUGCAGUUGCAAGCAAAGCCUGGUGGUGGGAUCUACAUGUGAAGCGGAGUACAUGGCAGCCUCGGAGGCAGCACAAGAAGCAAUCUGGGUGAAGGAGUUCAUCACCGACCUAGGAGUCAUACCCAAUGCGUCGGGGCCGAUGACUCUCUUCUGUGACAACACUAGAGCUAUUGCCCUUGCCAAGGAGCCCAGGUUUCACAGGAAGACCAGGCAUAUCAAGUGUCGCUUCAACUCCAUUCAUGAAAGUGUUCAAAAUGGAGACAUAGAAUUUUGUAAAGUACAUACGGACCUGAAUGUAGCAGAUCCGUUGACUAAACCUCUCCCUAGAGCAAAA